rnacentral:rRNA from 1 species
AUUGAACGCUGGCGGCAGGCCUAACACAUGCAAGUCGAGCGGAGCGGCCGACGGGUGGGUGAUGCCUAGGUAUCUGCCUGGUCGUUAGGGAUGACGUACGGAAACGGGCGCUAAUACCGCAUACUCUCUGUUGGGUCUAGCUGGGAUUAGCUAGUUGGUGGGGUAAAGGCUUACCAAGGCGACGAUCCCUCACUGGUCUGAGAGGAUGAUCAGUCACACUGGAACUGAGACACGGUCCAGACUCCUACGGGAGGCAGCAGUGGGGAAUAUUGCACAAUGGGCGAAAGCCUGAUGCAGCCAUGCCGCGUGUGUGAAGAAGGUCUUCGGGUUGUAAAGUACUUUAAGUUGGGAGGCGUUACCAACAGAAGAAGCACCGGCUAACUUCGUGCCAGCAGCCGCGGUAAUUC